rnacentral:rRNA from 1 species
UACGUAGGUGGCAAGCGUUGUCCGGAUUUACUGGGCGUAAAGGAUGCGUAGGUGGAUAUUUAAGUGGGAUGUGAAAUACCCGGGCUUAACCUGGGUGCUGCAUUCCAAACUGGAUGUCUAGAGUGCAGGAGAGGUAAGUGGAAUUCCUAGUGUAGCGGUGAAAUGCGUAGAGAUUAGGAAGAACACCAGUGGCGAAGGCGACUUCCUGGCCUGUUCUUGACGCUGAGGCGCGAAAGCUAGGGGAGCAAACGGG